ACUCAAUAGAUACCCAGGUAGUCCACGCCCUAAACGAUGUCUACUAGUUGUCGGGUCUUAAUUGACUUGGUAAACGCAGCUAAACGCGUGAAGUAGACCGCCUGGGGAGUACGGUCGCAAGAUUAAAACUCAAAGGAAUUGACGGGGACCCGCACAAGCGGUGGAUGAUGUGGAUUAAAUUCGAUGCAACGCGAAAAACCUUACCUACCCUUGACAUGGAUGGAAUCCCUGAGAGAUUGGGGAGUGCUCGAAAGAGAACCAUUACACAGGUGCUGCAUGGCUGUCGUCAGCUCGUGUCGUGAGAUGUUGGGUUUAAAGUCCCGCAACGAGCGCAACCCUUGUCAUUAGUUGCUACGAAAGGGCACUCUAAUGAGACUGCCGGUGACAAACCGGAGAAGGUGGGAUGACGUCAAGUCCUCAU
rnacentral:rRNA from 1 species